GAUUGGAGGACGAAAGUUUCCGGUGGUAGCAGUCAGUCUCGAUGAUUACCUUCUGAUGCGAAGUACUGAAGUAAAAAUCCGGACAUCAAAAGGUGAUAUCACAAGUCUCAGACUUAUCACAGAGGUCAAAACCCCUUAUUUGCCAGAUGGAAGAUUUGAUCUCGAAGCAUAUGAUUCUUUGAUAAACAUGCAGAUAGAGGGUGUUGCUGGAAGGAGUAAUAGUUGGAGGAACAACAGGAGAGGGUCACCUUAUGAGCUGGGAUGAACACAUCAUGCUCAUUGGGCAUACGGUUAACUGCUUUGGCACUAGAAUUAAAGUGAUAGGCAACACAGGAAGUAACUCAACUGGAGAGGCAGUUACGCAACAGAGCAAGGAUUAUCAUGUACGAAUGUGAGAAUGCAACGCUAAAUGAGAAGCUAUUGCCCCUGAUGAAAUCGUUGUUUAGCCAGCCAAAUCCAAUUGCUCUCAACACUGCCCUGGCUCAGCUCAGGGUGGCAAGGCCCGUUUUCAGAUUGCCAUACGUUCCUCUUCCUCUCGAAAAGAGGGUUGAGUUUGUCCGGAUUGUUGAAGCUUUUCGAUGGGAACACUUUGUUGGACAGAAAGAGGUGCGGGUUCUCGAUGAUGAUGAUUUUGUGAAGGUCAGUAGGUAUUAAUACGUGAGUUCUCUUGGUACCAUGUAUAUUGAUGAAUAAAGUAGUGUCGUAGUAUGAUUAUCUGCACUUGUCCUUGUGGAUAUUUCAGCGCCUUUUUGUUCAAAUGUGACUGACUUGUCAGUAAAAUAGACAUGGAAUUGGGUUCUUUGUGCUA